GUGGAGUCUGCACACUGGAUUUGUGCCCUCCUCUGAGUUCUGGCCAGGAGGCUUCUCACCCAGUUCAAAUUGUUACCAAGUUAUCUGGAGAUUUCCUUCUCCCUGUGGUGUUCACCCCUGCCCUCUGAUUCCUCUGUCCACCCUCUCGAUGGAUCACUGUGAUGCCAUGCAGAAAUGGCCUGCCUGGGGAUCCGGUGAUGGAGAUGUCUUCAAAAUGUUGGACUUCUAGCAAGAGUUCUCUGCCUAAAACUGUAUGUGAGAUUCUGAAAGAGGUAUAUUAAAGUCUCAGCAUGAAAGCAUAAAGAUGAGGAAACUGAGGCAUGGAGCAGUCCACGUGAAUGAGUCUCGUAGUAAGUGAUGGAACUAGGAUGCAACUCUCUGGUGUGAGUGCCCCACUCUGA
rnacentral:lncRNA from 1 species